rnacentral:tRNA from 1 species
GGAGCUGUAGCUCAGUAGUAAAGCAUGUGCUUAACAUGCAUGAGGUCUUGAGUUCAGUCCCCAGCACCACCA